UAUCACUUCCAGAGAGGUGACAGUUCCGCUUUACCUUUGUCGUCGUUUUUGAGGAAAAAAAUAGUUCACAUAUUAGUAAGUAUGUUUUAGAACUAUAACUCCUUAAGGGUCUAAUGUCGAUAACACUUUAGUUCUUACGGGACCAUUCCACACACCAGAACCACUUCAUACCAGUAAAGUGGUUAUGUUGACCACAGUCUACCA